UUGAAUGACUAUAUCUUAAUCGUUUUUUCAAGGAGGUAGACGCGCCCAUUAAAUAUGAGAACCAUGAUGGGGUAACUUUGGCUAAUCUCUACGGUGUACACAUACAACUUAUGAGGAGGGGAACCAAGUCGGUAGCUAUCCCUAAAGUCAUGCACGUAAACUUUUGUUGUAGAGAAAAGUUUCGAGCCGGUGCGCCGGCCGAAACGUUACGUAUGAUGCACACGAACCAACAUAUCUCUCUCACGUAACCGUGCGUUCUGUGGAACCUGCAACCUUAUCCAUUCCUUUUUUUCAAUUCUGCGUCUCCACGUCUCUUUCUUCAACCUCUUGAUGCACACAAUCAUCCUCUUCAUGUUGCAUCCCACCUGACCCCCUCCCGCGGUAUCAUGCAACAAGGUCGACCACCCACAUCACCCUACUAACGGGACCACGCAGGGGCUGCUGUGAGCGGAGAGUCAUGGCCUGCUACAAGUCGGUUCCUUAAACUGUCGUCAAUGGCUACAACCAACGAGCCAAUGUCGCAACCAUUAUCAGUUUUUGCUAGCAUCGGCGACAAAGUUUGCUACAUUCAGAUGGUCACGUCGCGACUCGCGACAAUGUAGAUGAUAUCUUUUUGCUGCAGCCAUCUCGACUUUUUGUUAGCGACCGACGAAAAUUUUUGCCGCAACCAAAUGGCAUAAUGCGACUUGCGAUGACGGCAAUGAUGUUUUUGAUGCAACCGUCGUAGACUUUUGCUAUAAUCGGUGACACAAAGUGCCACAACUAAACAACCAUGCUAUGACCAGAAAGGUCGUUUACUGGAGCCUGUGAGGUCGAUUUUGCUACAACCAGCAACGCAAAAUGUUGCGACCGGCAUGGCAGGAUGCUCAGACGGUAUGCACGACGAGCUACAACCGGGGCGAUGGCAUUUUUUUUGUCACCAUUGUCAACGUUUGCUACUACCGACGAUAGUAAUUGAUGCGACGACGAAGGCCAUGCUUUUACAACCAGCGAGGUGUCUUACUCGACGGCAACGAAAGACGGCGAGCCCGGGGUUCGUAGGGUAGCCGGCAAGCGCAGGUGGCCUAGGGAGAGCGCGACGGCCAUGUUUCCCCCCGGGGAUUUUCUCGAGCGAAGGAAUGAAAGAGGCGGUUGACUCAAAUCUAACAAUGGCUAUUUAACGCAUCGAACAGCUGGGGCAGUCCGGC
rnacentral:lncRNA from 1 species